CUCAGGACGAACGCUGGCGGCGUGCUUAACACAUGCAAGUCGAACGGAAAGGCCCUGCUUUUGUGGGGUGCUCGAGUGGCGAACGGGUGAGUAACACGUGAGUAACCUGCCCUUGACUUUGGGAUAACUUCAGGAAACUGGGGCUAAUACCGGAUAGGAGCUCCUGCUGCAUGGUGGGGGUUGGAAAGUUUCGGCGGUUGGGGAUGGACUCGCGGCUUAUCAGCUUGUUGGUGGGGUAGUGGCUUACCAAGGCUUUGACGGGUAGCCGGCCUGAGAGGGUGACCGGCCACAUUGGGACUGAGAUACGGCCCAGACUCCUACGGGAGGCAGCAGUGGGGAAUAUUGCACAAUGGGCGGAAGCCUGAUGCAGCAACGCCGCGUGCGGGAUGACGGCCUUCGGGUUGUAAACCGCUUUCGCCUGUGACGAAGCGUGAGUGACGGUAAUGGGUAAAGAAGCACCGGCUAACUACGUGCCAGCAGCCGCGGUGAUACGUAGGGUGCGAGCGUUGUCCGGAUUUAUUGGGCGUAAAGGGCUCGUAGGUGGUUGAUCGCGUCGGAAGUGUAAUCUUGGGGCUUAACCCUGAGCGUGCUUUCGAUACGGGUUGACUUGAGGAAGGUAGGGGAGAAUGGAAUUCCUGGUGGAGCGGUGGAAUGCGCAGAUAUCAGGAGGAACACCAGUGGCGAAGGCGGUUCUCUGGGUCUUUCCUGACGCUGAGGAGCGAAAGCGUGGGGAGCGAACAGGCUUAGAUACCCUGGUAGUCCACGCUGUAAACGGUGGGUACUAGGUGUGGGGUCCAUUCCACGGGUUCCGUGCCGUAGCUAACGCUUUAAGUACCCCGCCUGGGGAGUACGGCCGCAAGGCUAAAACUCAAAGGAAUUGACGGGGCCCCGCACAAGCGGCGGAGCAUGCGGAUUAAUUCGAUGCAACGCGUAGAACCUUACCUGGGUUUGACAUGGAUCGGGAGUGCUCAGAGAUGGGUGUGCCUCUUUUGGGGUCGGUUCACAGGUGGUGCAUGGCUGUCGUCAGCUCGUGUCGUGAGAUGUUGGGUUAAGUCCCGCAACGAGCGCAACCCUUGUUCACUGUUGCCAGCACGUUAUGGUGGGGACUCAGUGGAGACCGCCGGGGUCAACUCGGAGGAAGGUGGGGAUGACGUCAAGUCAUCAUGCCCCUUAUGUCCAGGGCUUCACGCAUGCUACAAUGGCUGGUACAGAGAGUGGCGAGCCUGUGAGGGUGAGCGAAUCUCGGAAAGCCGGUCUCAGUUCGGAUUGGGGUCUGCAACUCGACCUCAUGAAGUCGGAGUCGCUAGUAAUCGCAGAUCAGCAACGCUGCGGUGAAUACGUUCCCGGGGCUUGUACACACCGCCCGUCAAGUCAUGAAAGUUGGUAACACCCGAAGCCGGUGGCCUAACCGUUGUGGGGGAGCCGUCGAAGGUGGGACUGGUGAU
rnacentral:rRNA from 1 species